ACACAUGCAAGUCGAGGGGCAGCAUUUUAGUUUGCUUGCAAACUAAAGAUGGCGACCGGCGCACGGGUGAGUAACACGUAUCCAACCUGCCGAUAACUCGGGGAUAGCCUUUCGAAAGAAAGAUUAAUAUCCGAUGGUAUAUUAAAACCGCAUGGUUUUACUAUUAAAGAAUUUCGGUUAUCGAUGGGGAUGCGUUCCAUUAGUUUGUUGGCGGGGUAACGGCCCACCAAGACUACGAUGGAUAGGGGUUCUGAGAGGAAGGUCCCCCACAUUGGAACUGAGACACGGUCCAAACUCCUACGGGAGGCAGCAGUGAGGAAUAUUGGUCAAUGGACGAGAGUCUGAACCAGCCAAGUAGCGUGAAGGAUGACUGCCCUAUGGGUUGUAAACUUCUUUUAUAUGGGAAUAAAGUAUUCCACGUGUGGAAUUUUGUAUGUACCAUAUGAAUAAGGAUCGGCUAACUCCGUGCCAGCAGCCGCGGUAAUACGGAGGAUCCGAGCGUUAUCCGGAUUUAUUGGGUUUAAAGGGAGCGUAGGUGGAUUGUUAAGUCAGUUGUGAAAGUUUGCGGCUCAACCGUAAAAUUGCAGUUGAAACUGGCAGUCUUGAGUACAGUAGAGGUGGGCGGAAUUCGUGGUGUAGCGGUGAAAUGCUUAGAUAUCACGAAGAACUCCGAUUGCGAAGGCAGCUCACUAGACUGCAACUGACACUGAUGCUCGAAAGUGUGGGUAUCAAA
rnacentral:rRNA from 1 species